CGAGACCUCAGGUCAGGCGGGGCUACCCGCUGAGUUUAAGGCAUAUCAAAAA
rnacentral:rRNA from 1 species